UACAGAGGGUGCAAGCGUUAAUCGGAAUUACUGGGCGUAAAGCGUGCGUAGACGGUUAUUUAAGUCAGGUGUGAAAGCCCCGGGCUCAACCUGGGAAUUGCAUUUGAGACUGAAUAGCUAGGGUGCGGAAGAGGGAAGCGGAAUUUCCGGUGUAGCGGUGAAAUGCGUAGAUAUCGGAAGGAACACCAGUGGCGAAGGCGGCUCGCUGGGCCAUUCCUGACGCUGAGACGCGAAAGCUAGGGGAGCGAACAGG
rnacentral:rRNA from 1 species